GACGAACGCUGGCGGCGUGCUUAACACAUGCAAGUCGAGCGGUAGGGCCCUUUCGGGGGUACACGAGCGGCGAACGGGUGAGUAACACGUGGGUGACCUGCCCUUAGCUCUGGGAUAAGCCUGGGAAACUGGGUCUAAUACCGGAUAUGACUCCAUGACGCAUGUUGUGGGGUGGAAAGCCUUGUGCGGCUAGGGAUGGGCCCGCGGCCUAUCAGCUUGUUGGUGGGGUGAUGGCCACCAAGGCGACGACGGGUAGCCGGCCUGAGAGGGCGACCGGCCACACUGGGACUGAGACACGGCCCAGACUCCUACGGGAGGCAGCAGUGGGGAAUCUUGCGCAAUGGGCGAAAGCCUGACGCAGCGACGCCGCGUGGGGAUGACGGCCU
rnacentral:rRNA from 1 species